GGGCUGCUGCCUCAGAUAGAGUGGUCAGGGAAGACCUUUCUUUCCAAGAUGAUGAUAUUUGAGCUGAGACCUGAGUGAUGAGAAAAAGCCAACCUGGGAAGAUUUGGAAGACAGAAGAUUCCUUACAGAAGGAAUGGCAUGUGCAAAGGCCAUGGGGCAGAAGUGAGUUUGGUUUGGUCAAAGAUUAGACACAAGGUCAUGAUGCCAUGGUACCUUAGCAAACAAGUGGAAGGAUGGGAAAAGAUGAGGCCAGACAUGUAGGAGGGGCCAGAUCAUCUGGGUCUUAUGGCCAUUUUAUGGAAUUGGGUGUGACACGGGGGUGACAUCAGAGAGUAUCAAGCAGAACACUAAUAUCACCUAAUUUAUGUUUUUAAAACGUGGCUGGAUGUGGUGGCUCAUGCCUGUAAUUCCAGUGCUUUGGGGGGGCAUGAGGCAGGAGGAUCACUUGAGGCCAGGAGUUCAAGACCAGCCUGGGCAACAUAGUGAGAUCCCAUCUCUACAAACAAUUUAAAAAUUAGCUGGGUGUGGUGGUGCGCACCUGUAGCCUCAGCUACUUGGGAGGUGGAGGCGGGAGGAUCACUUGAUCCUGGGAGUCUGAGGCUGUGGUGAACUAUGGACACACCAUUGUAUCCCAGCCUGGGUGACAGAGUGAAACCCUGUCUCAGGAAAACAAACCAAAAGAAAAACAGCAACUCAUGCUGGUUAUUUUAUGGUUAAGAGCAAGAAUCCUUUUCUGAUGCAUUUCUUGGCACAAGGGAGGAGUUCAGUUUUAACAACUUAUAUUCUUUCUCACUGUAGAGGAAUAUUGACAUAAAUUGCACAUAAAUUAAGCAUGAUCAACUAACAAGUAUUUGUUGAUUUAUUGGGCAUGAAAAAGACCUUAGAGAGGUUCUAUUCUAGUUCUGUCUUCUCCACAGUCUGGAAAGACAGACUUAACAGAAUUUAUAAUCUCAGGUUUUGCCUGGCAUGGUGGCUCACGCCUGUAAUUCCAGCACUUUGGGAGGCUGAGGCAGGUGGAUCACCUGAGGUCAGGAGUUCGAGACCAGCCUGGCUAACAUGGCGAAACCCUGUUUUUACUAAAAAUACAAAAAAUUAGCCAGGCGUGGUGGUACAUGCCUGUAAUCCCAGCUACUUGGGAGGCUGAGGCAGGAGAAUUGCUUGAACCCAGGAGGCAGAGGUUGCAGUGAGCCGAGAUCGUGCCGUCGCACUCCAGCCUGGGCAACAAGAGUGAAACUCCGUCUCAAAAAAAAAAAAAAAAAAAAAGAAAAAAAAAACCUCAGGAUUUUACGGACUUUUAAAGUCAUUUAGACCAAUUAUCCAUUAGAUUCAUGGCUCAUCUCUCUCCUCACUCCCAUUUUCCCGGAGUCUUAUAGGUAGUUAGUGGGGGAGCUGGAGUUAGAAUCCAGUUAUCACUACUCCUACUUAAUUCUACCCUGACUUCUCUAAUCACAGAAAACAGUGCCCUUGCCUUCUGAGCACUUGCUUUUUUACUGGGGAAGCGAGAUACACCUAUACCAAUUAAAGUCUAAGAUAUUUAUCCUUUCUAUAAGACAAACCAAAAGCGAGAUGUCAUGAUGAGAGGAAACAUUUCCGAGUAGAGAGGAAGAGUAAAUAUUCCAACCCUGUAUUUCACCUGUCCUUUGGCAUUAUACCACUCUGUCACCUUUGCCACUAACUUUUAGUACCCUAUGGGUCCACUGCUUUGCCUUUAAAUCUGCUAGUCAGAUGCCCCUUGGCAUGACUGAGAUAUGAAGAAAAUGAAAAGGGAAAGAAGUAAACACAGCAUGCAAUGACCGUAAAAGUAGUCUGCCUUACGUAGUUUUCUCAUGUCAUUAUAUCUAGCUAACUCCUAGGGAAUAUUGGUAAUUAUACAUUUGUUCUGCUGGGCUGGUCUGAUCUACCUUUGAGGGUAUGUUUCUUAGAUGGGCUCCUCACUUACUAAAUGACUAACACUUUCCAGGGAUGGUGACAUCUUAUAACUCAUUAAGAGAACUGGUCAUCUAGAUAUAUACCUUGAUGACACAGGUGAGGGUCAAGAGAACCAUUUAUAUCAAGGGUUCCUCUUUUUUUUUUUUUUCAUUAUCCUAAGUAAACACAAGAAGGAAUUCUUCUUAAUAUAGUUCUAGUUUCUGGUCUGUGGGCUAUGGCUGUUCUCCAGAUGAAUGAUCUCACCUAUCAGGUAGGUGAGUCCCUGGUUCCUCCUAAUAGCGAGUAGCUUGGUCCCUUUCUGGGAUAAUAAUGUAGUCAUACAGUCCCGUGGAUGACUGAUAACAUCAAGAGGGUGAAAAUUAUAUACAUUCAAAUGGGCUUUUAUCCUAAUCUAAUAAAAUAUUGCUAAAUAAAUGGCGUAGGCAAUGUCCUUGAGAAGUCUCAACAGUCUUGAAUGAAUUAGCUUGAAAGACUUCUUUUGGAUCUGUUCAGAAUAGAAUUGCGGAAGCGAGUACGGAACUGUUGGAUGAGCCAUCAGUAAGUUAUGUUAGGAACAUAUUUGUGUUUAGCAGGUGUGUGAUCCGUGGUAGACAAGGAGCCUCUGGACACUGAUGGUAUUUUAUCUCAGACUUAGGCUUUUCAAAGAGGUAGGAAUCAGAUUGUGAAUACUUAGCCACAUUUCCCAGAAGUUGAAACGGAAAGAGAAGCAGACUCAUUGCCUGUUGAAGCUUGUCUGUGUGGGCUGAGCUCACUCAGUUGGAUACUUUCGGCCAGUUAUUUUAAACUAAAUUUAGGUUUUGAUGAAGUUCUGAAAAAUUAUCAAAUUUCUGUCUAGUUUCAGCUCCAGCGCAUGUUUACCAGCAGUAUACUUUACUUUUCAUAGCUCCCCCCAGAAUUGAAUGUGAAAAUGUAGGUUAGUUGCCCACAUUUCUUGAGACGGAAUUUUUUGGAGAAGAAAUUUUUUAUUCCAUCCAUCCAUCCAAUAAACGUGCAAAAUUAUCAGAAAUAGAAAUGGAUGAUAUAUGGCCCAAAAUUCAAAAGGUACAAAGGAGCAUUCAGUGAAAUGAAGUCUUCUUGCCACCCCAAUACCUGAGUCACACAGUUUCUUAGUCUUUUUUUUUUUUUUUUGAGACGGAGUCUCACUCUGUUGCCCAGGCUGGAGUGCAGUGGCGCGAUCUUGGCUCACUGCAAGCUCCACCUCUCGGGUUCACGCCGUUCUCCUGUCUCAGCCUCCAGAGUAGUUGGGACUACAGGCGCCUGCCGCCACGCCCAGCUAAUUUUUUGUAUUUUUAGUAGAGACGGCGUUUCACCAUGUGUUAGCCAGGCUGGUCUCGAUUUCCUGACCUCGUGAUCUGCCCGCCUCAGCCUCCCAAAGUGCUGGGAUUACAGGCGUGAGCCACCGCGCCCGGCCAGCUUCUUACUCUUAUAAACAUUUAUUAAGGGCAUCUCUGGAUUAGUCCAAGUGCUAGAUGCCGUUUAUUUUCUGACAGUGCUUUGACAUACUUGAAAUUUCCAAGCAUAAUUUUACUUAAAAGUAAAAAAAGAAAAUACCUGGCCAGAUGCAGUGGUUCACGCCUGUAAUCCCAGCACUUUGGGAGGCUGAGGCAGGAGGAUCACUUGAGCCCCAGAGUUGGAGACCAGCCUGGGCAACAUAGUGAGACCUUAUCUCUGCAAAUAAUAAUAAUAAAAAUAACCAGGGGUGUGGUGGUGCAUGCCUGUGGUCCCAGCUACUCAGGAGGCUGAGGUGGGAGGAUCGCUUGAGCCCAGGAGGUCAAGGUUUCUGUGAGCUAUGAUCGCACCACUGAACUCCAGCCUGGGCAACAGAGCCAGAGCACUUCUCAAAUAAAAAAGGACCAAAGAAAAAUACCUAACCUAACUUAUACUGCUCAUUAGGAUGGCACAGUGUGAUAAUCUAAUGUAAGCCCUGUGGGGGCCGGAAUUUUAAUCUGUUAUUCACUGCUGUAUUCCUUAUGUUUCGUGCAAUGUCUGCAGAUAUUCAUUGAGUACAUGAAUAUAAGGAUUAAAAAUAAGAGCUGAGUUUGUUUUUAUACCCUUAAUACAUCUUUUGACUUUUACUAUUGGAAUUUCCUAUCUAUAGUUAAGAUGUUAAAGAAAAGUAAUUUUCUACCUUUUUCUCACAAAUCUCCGAGUAAGGAGAUUUCACAGCUUUUCUGGGCUAGUAAUUGAUUUUUGGCAUAUCUCAAACUUUUACUAUUAGGAAGAUCAGUGUAUCUAAAGUAAGUCUUGCAAUUUGAAUUCAAAUCCCUUAGUUUUUUGUUUUUUGUUUUUAUAUUUUUGAGAUAGGGUUUCGCUUUGUCACCUAAGGCUGGAGUGCAGUGAUGUGAUCAUGGCUCUCUGCAGCCUCCACCUCCUAGGUUCAAGUCAUCCUUCUACUUCAGCCUCCUGAGUACCUGGGACUACAGGUGCAUGCCACCAUGCCCAGCUAAUUUUAAAAAAUUUUAUUUUUAGUAGAGAUGGGGGUCUUGCUAUGUUGCUAGGCUGGUCUUGAACUCCUGGGCUCAAAUGAUCCUCCCUCUUUGGCUUCCCGAAGUGUUGGGAUUACGGGUGUGAGCCAUCACGCCUGGCCAACAUCAGUUUUACUUUACCAUAACAUUGCUGUUAUUUUUUGAAUCUUUUUUAUAAUUUUAUUUCUAGUUUUUCACUUUACAAAUUUUCUGUGAUAACCAUUGUUGUGCACAAGUCUUUGAUGUACUUCUGAUUUUUUGCUCCGGAUAUAUUGUUGAAAGGGAAAUUACCGUGCCAAAGGGAACACAUGCUUGUACGGCACCUAAUAUGUAUAUUGCCACAUUGCUUUCCAGAAAGGCUGCACUAGAAUUAACCUCCUGAGCAGUGUAUGAGCAGGCUUGGCUCACUGCAAGCCACACUGGCUCUCUUUAUCUUAUCUGUCUCCCCAUCUGCCUUUGUUGGCUUGGGGGUGUAGGGCUUUUAAGUCUCUACUACACCUCUAAACCUAGUCCCAUAGAUAUAGUACAAGUCAGGAGAAGGUUAUAGCAGCUGUGUAAUCCAUCUUUCCCUGUACCAAACCUGGAAGAGGAAUGACAAGAAUUCAAGUGUAAAUCUAACCUUUUUUUGAGGCAGAGUCUUGCUCUGUCACCCAGGCUGGAGUGCAAUGGUGCGAUCUCGGCUCACUGCAACCUCCGCCUCCUGGGUUCAAGCGAUUCUCUUGCCUCAGCUUCCCUAGUAGCUGGGAUUACAGGUGCCCAUAGCCACGCCUGGCUAAUUUUUGUAUUUUUAGUAGAGAUGGGUUUCACCAUGUUGGCCAGGCUGGUCUUGAACUCCUGACCUCAAGUAAUCCACCCCCCGCCCCCAGCCUCUCAGAGUGGUGGUAUUACAGGCAUGAGCCACCGCACCCGGCCAAGUCUCACCUUUUACUUGCUUUUUAUAAAUCAUCAUUCUCUCCUGAUCUUUGAUAAAGGGACAAAAACCCAAACUGGAGAAAUUGCUGAAGGGAAGAAGAAAGGUUAAUGAGAAACAGACUCUUGAUCACCCAAACCAUUGAUUUUUUUUUUUUUUUUUUUUGAGAUGGAGUCUCGCUCUGUUGUCCAGGCUGGAGUACAAUGGCGUGAUCUUGGCUCACUGCAACCUCUGCCUCUCCGGUUCAAGUGAUUCCCCUGCCUCAGCCUCCUCAGUAGCUAGGAUUACAGGCACGUGCCACCACACCUGGCUAAUUUUUGUAUUUUUAGUAGAGACGGGGUUUCACCGUGUUAGUCAGGCUGCUCUCCAACUCCUGACUUUGUGAUCCACCUGCCUCGACCUCCCAAAGUGCUGGGAUUACAGGAGUGAGCCAUUGCACCUUGCCUCUCCACUGACUUUUUUUUUUUUUGAGACGGAGUCUCACUCUGUCACCCAGGCUGGAGUGCAGUGGCGCAGUCUCUGCUCACUGCAACCUCUGCCUCCUGGGUUCAAGAGAUUCUCCUGCCUCAGCCUCCCAGGUAGCUGGGACUACGGGCGCCCACCACCACACCCGGCUAAUUUUUUUGUAUUUUUAGUAGAGACGGGGUUUCACCAUGCUGGCCAGGGUGGUCUUGAACUCCUACCUCGUGAUCCACUCGCCUCGGCCUCCCAGAGUGCUGGGAUUAUAGGCGUGAGCCACUGCACCCAGCCUACCAUUGAUUUUUAAAUAACUAUUUUUUGGUAAACCAGCGUGAGAAUUUCAGAGAUUAAUAAAAGUUGUAAAUUGCUCCUCCCUCGUUUUAAUGGUGAAAAGAUAGUCAAGGAGAUUGUGAAGGAGAAAGUUAUAUGAAUAAAUAUGGUAAUGCAGCAGUCCUAUCAUGUUUAAAUUUGCUGUGUGCAUUGUACUUUAUGGGUUAAGAGAUUUUCAAGGGUAAUUGGGCCAUAUAGGAUAUUGUGCUUAGUAUGUUGUGGGGUUAUGACUGUGGAAUUAUCUGUGUUUUGGACAUUUGGUGGUAACUGCUUUUCUUUUAUCUCCAAUAGAAGCCCUCCUAUACAGUAAGUUUUGGUUAUGAUGUGCUUAGUUAAUUGAGGGGAAAAACUGAUAAAGCAGGAAAAUCAGAAAUAUAUAUUCAUGCAUUAAUCUUUUUUUGGUUUUUCUUUUUUAUGUAGACGGAGUCUUGCUCUGUCGCCCAGGCUGGAAGUGCAGUGGCAUGAUCUCGGCUCACUGCAACCUCUGCCUCCUGAGUAGCUGGGACUAUAGGCACAUGCCACCAUGCCCGGCCAAUUUUUGUAUUUUUUGUAGAGAUGGGGUUUCGCCAUGUUGGCCAGGAUGGUCUCGAAUUCCUGAGCUCAGGCAGUUCGCCUGCUUCGGUCUCCUAAAGUGCUAGGCUUACAGGCAUGAGCCACCAUGCCUGGCUCAUGCAUUACUCUUUUAAAAAGUAUGUAUUGUGGAAAAUUUCAAACAUAAAUGAAAGUAGAGGGAAUAAUAUAAUGAACCCCUAUGUGCCUGUCGCCUAGUUUAAACAGUUGUCAUCUUGUGACCAAUCUUGCAUUUAUACCUUUCCCACUUCCCCGCUUUUUUCCUGGAUUUUGAAGCAUAUCCCAGAAUCCUUUCAUUUCAUCGGUAGAUAUUUUGGCAUGUAUCUCUAAAUAGAUGAAGAUUCUUUAAACAAACAAACAAAACCAAACCCCAGGGCUGGGUAUGGUGGUUCAUGCCUGCCAUCCCAGCACUUUGGGAGGUCUAGGUAGGUGGAUCGCUUGAGGCUAGCUAGUUCAAAACCAGCCUGAGCAGCACGGUAGUAGUGAGGCCCCAUCUCUACCAAAAAAUAAAAAUAAGUGAGCGGUGGAUGGUGGUAAGUGGCUGUAGUUCUAGCUACUUGGGAGGUUGAGCUGGGAGGAUUGCUUGAGCCCAGGAGUUCCAGAUUACAGUGCAGUAAACUAUGGUUGCGCCACUGCAUUCCAGCCUGUGUGACAGAGACCCUGUCUCUAAAAAGGAAAGAAAGAAAAGAGAGAGAAAAGAAAGAAAGAAAGAUUGAUUAGCACAUAGGUUAAUAUUUUGUUAACCUGUUGAUGCAGGGCCAAGGCUUUUUCUUUGUGUGCCCUAGUUGGAGUUCCUUAAUUUUGUUUCCAUUAAAUACACCCAUAAUUCAUUAUCUAUAAUUUCCAGUUUUGUUUGCUUUUUAAAGCAGAACAUGAAUUUAAUGGCAUUUGUGAAGCAAUAUUAGUACAGCAUCCCUCUUGAUUUUUAUGACUCCUUCCCAGUCUUUUAUACUCAUCUCAUUCACGUCUAAUUUACUAUGUCUUUUUAAGCAUUUGAUGAAGUUUUCAUAGAAACGUAUCUCCUUAAUUUUUCAUCAGUUUACAUUCUAUUUAAUUAAAUUACAUAACUGUAAUAAUGAGCAACUGGUAUAAAUAGGUUUGGGAAAAAAACAGUUAAUUAUUGGUAAGAAUAUAACUUAAUAACGGGAGGCUGGGCCCGGCGCGGUGGCUCAUGCCUGUAAUUGCAGCACUUUGGGAGGCCCAGGCAGGCGGAUCACCUGAGGUCAGGAGUUCCAGACCAGCCUGGCCAACCUGGUGAAACCCUGUCUCUACUAAAAAUACAAAAAUUAGCUGGGUGUGUUGGUGCAUGCCUGUAAUCCUAGCUACUCGAGAGGUCUGAGGCAGGAGAAUUGCUUGAACCUGGGAGGCAGAGGUUGCAGUGAGCCAAGAUCCUGCCACUGUACUGCAGCCUGGGCCACAGAGCGAGACUCCAUCUCAAACAAACCAACCACAAAAAAACCAAAAAACUUAAUAAUGGGAGCAGCAGAAGCUUAUAAGAGUAAGAGACAGCUGUUAUUAGUUGGGGCCAGUUUGCAUGUUGGGGGCAUUGGUUGCUUUACUGAGACAAGGAGAAGCAUUGAUUAUUUUGGCAGGUUGGUUGAGUGAAGGUGGGCUAAGAGAGCUUCUGCGUUAAUUUAAAAUGAUAAAGAAGUCAAAGCUGUUAGAAAUUUGAGGACAAGUUAUUUUAUAGAAUCUUUUAUUAUUUAUAGUGUGUACUUCGAGGUGGUAUUUUUGUCCACUUAUGUUAGAAUUUGUGUGAACUGAGCUGAAUUUGGUAAUGAGUCAGUGGUAUUAAAAACUUGGUGAAGAAACUGGCCAAACUCUUUAGUUUAAGAGGUUUAUAUCUGUUCACUGCUAGUGUAGUGUUCUGUGGAACAAGUUGACAUUUUCUUGUAGUAAGUUGUUUUCUGUUUCUGGCGGAAGCAAUCUUGGUUCAUAUGCUGCAAGAAACAGAACUGUUUUUAUUGUGGAAGACAGGAGCAGAGCUGUGUGUUUCUUAUUAGGAUGAGUUGGACACCUGCAGGAUUUCUUCUCUCUUUCUGCUUCUUGCCUCCUGUUGUCUUUUCCUUCUGUUAGAAUGUUCUAAUAUUGCAUAAGCAGCAUUCCGACAAUAGUUGAAUUUUUUUGGUACUUCAUUUUUUUAAACUCUCAAAAUAAUGUUUUUAGUGAUUGUAUGUUCUUGGCUUACUUUCCAUUUCUACAUCAACAGGGAUAUUGUUAUUCUAGUCAAAUGGGGUAGUUGUAUUCUGGCAAUGAUCUUUGGGUCCAAGUCAGCUGCAGAAACAACACUUUCAUAUAUUAUACCUAAAUAUCUUACAUGUGUAUGGUAAUUCUGGGAGGUAAUUAAAUGUUGGGAUGGUACUUUAGGAUCUCUUUAAAGGAUUUCACAGUUCUCAGGAAUAAAAUAACUUGUUUGAAGCAUGUUACUCAUUGGCCUUUGACCAUGCAAAAGGGUAGCCAGUGAUUUUAGCCUACUGCCUCUUCCGAUCUCAUUUUCCUCCUUUCUUUUGAGGCAGCAGCUGCAUCCAGUGCCCUGCUCUAAUUGAGCUCUUAGUAAAAGGGGUAUUGUUAUACCAAGUCACAACCUCGUAUAGCAGUGAGGUUACAUCAAUGGUUGUUAGAUUUUUAGGCCACGCAUCCAUUUUGGAGUCACAUUAAAUUUUGAAAACCAAAAUUUAGUUGCAUUACCUAAAUUUCUCUUCCUUUUCUUAUCCUGAUACCAGGAUAAGAAUAGGUUUUCUGUUUUUCCAGCUCUUUGUGGAACCUUUUUGGCCCAUCAGAGUUGCUUGCGACAAUCUGUAGUUAAAGAACUGAGACUGGUGCGGGAAUCGGGAUGUUUCUGGUUCCAGUUUUUACUAGCCAGCAGUUUGACUUUGGGCAAAUUACUUAACCUCAGGGGGCUUCCAGUUUCUCUUUAAUUUAUAAUUUUUUCAACUGCUUUAUUGAGGUACAUUUCACAGACCAUACAGUUCACCCAAUUUUUUUUAAGUGUAUUCAUGGAGCUGUGCGACCAUCACUAUAAUACAUUUUAGAACAUUUUCAUUAUCCUUAAAAGAAGCAUGGUACCCAUUAGCAGUCACUGCUUAUUUCUUCAACCUCUCUUCUCAGCCCUAAGCAACCACAAAUUAAUUUUUAUCGAUUUACGUCAUCUGGACACUUCAUAUAAAUAGAAUUAUGCAGUGGGUGUCCUGUUGUAUUUUACUUCUUUCACUUGGUGUAAUGCCUUCAAGGUUCAUGCAUGUUCUUACAUAUGUUGGAAUCUCAUUAUUUUUUUAUGGCUGAAUAAUAUUAUGUUGUAUGGAUACGCCACAUUUUUAAAAUCAAUUCAUGAAUUGGUGGGCAUUGUUUCUACUUAUUGGCGAUUAUGAAUAAUAUGGUCUUGAACAUUUGUGUACAAAUUUCUGUGUGAUCAUGUUUUCAUUUUUUUCUUGGGCAUAUACCUAGGAGUGGAAUCGCUUGGUCAUGUGGUGACUCCUUGUUUAAGGUUUUGAGCAACUUCCAAACUGUUUUCCACAGUAGCUGCCCCAUUUUAUAUUCUUACCUGCAAUGUAUGAGGGUUUCUGUUCUGUCUACAUCCAAAACUUAUUUUCUUUUUUUUGAUUUUAGCCAUCCUAGUGGAUGUGAAGAAGUAUUGCAUUGUGGUUUUGAUCUACAUUUCCCUAAUGAACAAUGGUAGUGAGCAUCAUUUCAUGUGCCAGUUGAUCAUUUGUAUAUUUCCUUUGGAGAAAUGUCUAUUAACAUCCUUUGCCCAUUUUUGAAUUGGAUUAUUUGUCUUUUUAUUGCUGAGUUGUAAGAGUUCUUUAUGUUUGGGAUACAAGUCCCUUAUCGGAUACAUGAUUUACAAAUAUUUUCUGCCAUUCUGUGGGUUGUCUUUUCAGUUUCUUGGUAGUGUUGUUUGCAGCACAAGUGUCUUUAAUUUUGAUUCUCUAGUUUCUUAAUUUAUAUAGUUGUUUAAACUCUGAAACUAUAUGUUUUAUUGAGAUUAUUUUCCUCUGUGCUCAUUCUGUACUUUCUCCCAUGUUCAUAUAGCUCUCUCUUUCCCGGGACGUUUUCUAGCCUCAAAGACUUUAUUUUUUUGAUUAAUUUAUUUAUUUUGAGACGGAGUCUCGCUCUGUCGCCCACGCUGGAGUGCAGUGGCGCCAUCUCGGCUCACUGCAAGCUCCGCCUCCCAGGUUCAUGCCAUUCUCCUGCCUCAGCCUCCUGAGUAGCUGGGACUACAGGUACCUGCCAUCACGCCCGGCUAAUCUUUUGUAAUUUUUAGUAGAGACGGGGUUUCACCGUGUUAGCCAGGAUGGUCUUGAUCUCCUGACCUUGUGAUCCGCCUGCCUCGGCCUUCCAAAGUGCUGUGAUUACAGGUGUGAGCCACUGCGCCCGGCCUCUAGCCUCAAAGACUUUAAAAACAUCUGUCUAUGUAUUUGCCUCUCUAAUACAUGUGUCUUACAAAAUAAUCAAACCUUACAAAAUGUAUAACAAAGAAAGUGAAAGUUCCUCAUCUCUCCAGAGAAAACAUUAACUAUUUAUAACCAGAUUUUUUCCCCAUUCACAUGGUAAAAAUUUUUUUUAAUUAAAAAAGGGAACAUACCACAAUCUAGUUUGCCACUUGUUUUUUCAUUUAAUAGUAUAUCUCCAACAUUAUUCCAUGUCAGUACACUUUGUCCUUGUCUCAAUCAUUUUAAUGGCUGCAGAGUAUUCUAUUUUAUGGAUAUACUAUACUUUACAUAGUAGCCUAUUGAUAGAUUUUAGGGUUGUUUCUAGAUAUUGUUUUAUUUUUUUGAGACAGAGUUUCUCUGUCACCCAUGCUGGAGUGCAAUGGCAUGAUCUUGGCUCACUGCAACUUCUGCCUCCCAGAUUCGAGUGAUUCUCCCACCUCAGCCUCCCAAGUAGCUGGGAUUACAGGUGCGCGCCACCACACCCAGCUAAUUUUUGUAUUUUUAGUAGAGACGGGGUUUCACCAUGUUGGCUUGGCUGGUCACGAACUCCUGGCCUUGAGUGAUCCCCCUGCCUCAGCCUCCCAAAGUGCUGGGAUUACAGGUGUGAGUCAGCGUGCCCAGCCCAGAUUUUAUUGUUUUAAUUACAAAUUUUACGUAAGUUGUUUCUGCACAUUUAUAUUUGCACACUUGUGCUAGUGGUUUUUUUUUCUAUUCCAUUUAUUUGCUAUUGCAGUAUUUACUAUUCAAAACACGUAGACUUAUUUUAAAAAAUAAAAGAAUUUUAUUUAGUGUGACCUAGAGUCAACGUCUCAAAAGUUAUGUAUUCUUUUCCAUCAUGAUAUAUACAAUGUUCUGAUCUUCUUUUAAAGCCAGAGUCUUCAUUUUCUUGGUAAUUGUAUAGAAUAAUUUACUAGAAGUGGAAUGCUUGGAUCAAAGUAUGAGUGCUUAAAAUCAUGUAAGAUGUUGCCACAUCACCCUCCAAGUAAGGCCAUGCCAAUUCACUCAGCUUGAGAGUGUAUGACAGUGAUUUUUCUGUUCUUUUUAACCCUGGCAAAUAGCCUUUUUAGGGAAUUAAUCUGACAGGUGAAAAAAUGUCAUUUUAUUAUUUGUAGUUACUUAUUAGUACAUUCGAGCAUCAUUUAAUUUGUCUGUUGGUUGUCUUUCUGCUUUGUCUACUUUUCUGUUGGGCUUUUGGCUUUUUCUUAUUCAUCAGUUGUCAUAGCUUUAUUAUUAUUAUUAAUGUUUUAAAAAAAUUGAGUUGGAGUCUCACUCUGUCACCCAGGCUGGAGUACAGUGGUGCAAUCUUGGCUCUCUGAAACCUCUGCCUCCCAAAUUCAAAUGGUUCUCAUGUCUCAGCCUCCCAAAAUGCUGGGAUUACAGGCAUGAGCUGCUGUGCCUGGCCUGUAAUAGCUUUUUAAUAUUAGGGAAAUUAGUUACCUUAUAAAAUAUAUUACUGAUAUUUUUCUUUGUCUUUUGACUUUGUGUGUGUGUCUAAUAUAAAAUGAAAAUGCUUUUAUUUUUAUAGUCAGAUUUUUC
rnacentral:lncRNA from 1 species